AUUGAACGCUGGCGGCAGGCUUAACACAUGCAAGUCGAACGGAACCUUCGGGUUUAGUGGCGAACGGGUGAGUAAUACCUAGGAAUCUGCCUAUUAGUGGGGGAUAACGGCUCGAAAGGGUCGCUAAUACCGCAUACGUCCUACGGGAGAAAGAGGGGGAUCUUCGGACCUCUUGCUAAUAGAUGAGCCUAGGCCGGAUUAGCUAGUUGGUAGGGUAAAGGCCUACCAAGGCGACGAUCCGUAGCUGGUCUGAGAGGAUGAUCAGCCACACUGGGACUGAGACACGGCCCAGACUCCUACGGGAGGCAGCAGUGGGGAAUAUUGGACAAUGGGCGCAAGCCUGAUCCAGCAAUGCCGCGUGUGUGAAGAAGGCCUGCGGGUUGUAAAGCACUUUUGUUCGGGAAGAAAUCAUGCUGGUUAAUACCUGGUAUGGAUGACGGUACCGAAAGAAUAAGCACCGGCUAACUUCGUGCCAGCAGCCGCGGUAAUGUACAGUGU
rnacentral:rRNA from 1 species